GACAGAGGGUGCAAACGUUGUUCGGAAUUACUGGGCGUAAAGCGCGUGUAGGCUGUUCGGAAAGUCGGAUGUGAAAGCCCCGGGCUCAACCCGGGAAGUGCAUUCGAAACUUCCGAGCUGGAGUCUUGGAGAGGAAGGCGGAAUUCUCGGUGUAGAGGUGAAAUUCGUAGAUAUCGAGAGGAACACCGGUGGCGAAGGCGGCCUUCUGGACAAUGACUGACGCUGAGACGCGAAAGCGUGGGGAGCAAACAGG
rnacentral:rRNA from 1 species